rnacentral:rRNA from 1 species
GAUGAACGCUGGCGGCGUGCCUAAUACAUGCAAGUCGAGCGAACGGACGAGAAGCUUGCUUUUCUGAUGUUAGCGGCGGACGGGUGAGUAACACGUGGAUAACCUACCUAUAAGACUGGGAUAACUUCGGGAAACCGGAGCUAAUACCGGAUAAUAUUUUGAACCGCAUGGUUCAAAAGUGAAAGACGGUCUUGCUGUCACUUAUAGAUGGAUCCGCGCUGCAUUAGCUAGUUGGUAAGGUAACGGCUUACCAAGGCAACGAUGCAUAGCCGACCUGAGAGGGUGAUCGGCCACACUGGAACUGAGACACGGUCCAGACUCCUACGGGAGGCAGCAGUAGGGAAUCUUCCGCAAUGGGCGAAAGCCUGACGGAGCAACGCCGCGUGAGUUAUGAAGGUCUUCGGAUCGUAAAACUCUGUUAUUAGGGAAGAACAUAUGUGUAAGUAACUGUGCACAUCUUGACGGUACCUAAUCAGAAAGCCACGGCUAACUACGUG